AUUGAACGCUGGCGGCAGGCCUAACACAUGCAAGUCGAACGAGUGGCGGACGGGUGAGUAAUGUCUGGGAAACUGCCUGAUGGAGGGGGAUAACUACUGGAAACGGUAGCUAAUACCGCAUACCAUCAGAUGUGCCCAGAUGGGAUUAGCUUGUUGGUGGGGUAACGGCUAACCAAGUCGCCGAUCCCUAGCUGGUCUGCGAGGGUGACCGGUCACACGGGAACUGAGACACGGUCCAGACUCCUACGGGGGGCAGCAGUGGGGAAUAUUGCACGAUGGUCGCAAGCCUGAUGCAGCCAUGCCGCGUGUAUGAAGAAGGCCUUCGGGUUGUAAAGUACUUUCAGCGGGGAGGCGUAACCCGCAGAAGAAGCACCGGCUAACUCCGUGCCAGCAGCCGCGGUAAUUC
rnacentral:rRNA from 1 species